UGAUAGCUAUGAAGCGUGAGGUUGCUGUCCGUCGUAAGGCGAGGCAGGUAGUUCCGUGGAGCGAAGGUCAUGUUAAUCUGACGACAA
rnacentral:ncRNA from 1 species